rnacentral:rRNA from 1 species
GAUGAACGCUGGCGGCGUGCCUAAUACAUGCAAGUCGAGCGAAUGGAUUAAGAGCUUGCUCUUAUGAAGUUAGCGGCGGACGGGUGAGUAACACGUGGGUAACCUGCCCAUAAGACUGGGGUAACUCCGGGAAACCGGGGCUAAUACCGGAUAACAUUUUGAACCGCAUGGUUCGAAAUUGAAAGGCGGCUUCGGCUGUCACUUAUGGAUGGACCCGCGUCGCAUUAGCUAGUUGGUGAGGUAACGGCUCACCAAGGCAACGAUGCGUAGCCGACCUGAGAGGGGGAGCGGCAACACUGGGAGUGAGACACGGCCCAGACUCCUACGGGAGGCAGCAGUAGGGAGUCUUCCGCAAUGGACGAAAGUCUGACGGAGCAACGCCGCGUGAGUGAUGAAGGCUUUCGGGUCGUAAAACUCUGUUGUUAGGGAAGAACAAGUGCUAGUUGAAUAAGCUGGCACCUUGACGGUACCUAACCAGAAAGCCACGGCUAACUACGUGCCAGCCGCCGCAGUAA